rnacentral:rRNA from 1 species
UACAGGGGUCUCGAGCGUUGUUCGGAUUCAUUGGGCGUAAAGGGUGCGUAGGUGGCGCCGUAAGUCGGGUGUGAAAUUUCGGAGCUUAACUCCGAAACUGCAUUCGAUACUGCGGUGCUUGAGGACUGGAGAGGAGACUGGAAUUCAUGGUGUAGCAGUGAAAUGCGUAGAGAUCAUGAGGAAGACCAGUGGCGAAGGCGGGUCUCUGGACAGUUCCUGACACUGAGGCGCGAAAGCUAGGGGAGCAAACAGG